GUGCUCACUUUGGCAGCACAGAGACUAAAACUGGAACACUACAGAAAUCAGCAUGGUCCCUGCCCAAGGAUGAAACAGAUUUUUGAAGCAUUCCUUAUUUUU
ensembl:snRNA U6 U6 spliceosomal RNA